UACGGGGGGGGCAAGCGUUGUUCGGAAUUACUGGGCGUAAAGGGUUCGUAGGUGGCCUGCUAAGUCGGACGUGAAAUCCCUCGGCUCAACCGGGGAACUGCGUCCGAUACUGGUGGGCUCGAGUGCAGGAGAGGAACGCGGAAUUCCAGGUGUAGCGGUGAAAUGCGUAGAUAUCUGGAGGAACACCGGUGGCGAAGGCGGCGUUCUGGACUGCAACUGACACUGAGGAACGAAAGCGUGGGGAGCAAACGGG
rnacentral:rRNA from 1 species